GCUGCCAGCAGCUUCCGCCUGCUACGGUCCUGGCAAGCACCUCGGGAUCCCAUUCCUUCACAGGGACCCUAGCCAGUUAAAGCUGAUACAUUCCUGUGGGUCAACUAUGCAACUAACUCAGAUUUUGAGCAAACAAAGCUCUCAAGUUGGUGAUCCUCAGGAGUCUCUGCAUUAGUUGGACAGCUCUUCUGGAAUUAUCUUCUAAGUCAACUGUGGGUUGGGUAGGUGGCUCUGCUGAUUUUUCGCUGGACUUCCACAUUUGGGACGAGUUGGCUGUCAUCAGCUCUAGAAAGGGUGUGGCCGUUUUACAUUGGCUGUUUUCCUCACAUUCCUCAAGCAGAUAACUGAUACCGUGCUUCCAGAAGAUUUUUCUAACAGUGUUUGCAAGCUAUAAAAUAGUGCUUUCACUUAGAAAAGGCUAGACGUGGUGGUUCAUGCCUGUAAUCCCAGCACUUUGAGAGGCCGAGGCACCAUGCUGGGAGAUAAGGAUCCAACAUAAGACAAACAGUGCUGAUGCUUUUGGAAAGCUCAUAUUCAAGCUGGGGAGACAAACAACAUACAAGAGGGCUCUGAGAGAUUUCAUUUCUGUCCUGCUGAUGAAGUCUACGUUCAUUCAGGGCCUGCUGUGGAAGACCAGCCCCAAAGUUGCUGAACAGAAGACUUUUGAGAGUCAGCAGAAAUCUUCCACUUUGCAUGGUUCUCUUGAUGUGAAAUCAUCUAUAUAGCCCCAGAAUUGGAAAAGAAAAAAAAUAAAAAAAUGGAAGGAAACUGGA
rnacentral:lncRNA from 1 species